rnacentral:lncRNA from 1 species
UUCAUACUGUACAAUUAUUUAUUUUAAUCUAUUUUUUUUUAUCUAAUUUGAGCAUUUAAAAUAUUGUUGGUGUACCUAGAAAGGCGUCUGACUUUGAUGAUCUAGUGAUGCAUGUCACUCCUAUAAAAAGCAUUUCAAGUAAGACGAUUUCAUAUGCCUUAUAUAUAUACAUUUGAUACUGGGAAUUUAUUUUAAUGCCACAAGAACUAUAAAAAAAAAAUCAAUACGAAGGGGAAUAAAUAUGAAUAAUUUUACCUUUUGCAAACCUACUGUCAAAUUAACGUAUUUUUUAGUGCUUGUUCUAUCCGCUGGUCAACACAAUAUAAUUAGCCAAAAUAAAUGGUAAAAAUAAGAACCUAAUUGAAAACAGUAGUGAAUUGAUCAUUAUUUUAUUAAUGUUUUAUUUAUUUUCAAUUUACUUUAAAUAUAAUUUCAACACCUUACACACACCAAGGGUGACUGGGGUAUAGAAAUAUGGUCAGUUGCUUCUCUCCAGACCGGCAGUAAAACACUUGCCGAAGUGGGGCGUCCGUUUGGCUGUACGGGAUGUAUCAAGUUCGCAGUCACGUCCGGUCAAAAGGGGGACGUUAAAUUCGAUGCCUCGUGUAAAGAGAGUACCACGCUCUUUGCACGUUAGGAACCCUUGCAACAACUCUUUGAGGGGUCUGUAAGUGGCCUGUUGCAAGGCAAAAUUUCUGUCUCUAUUCAAUAUACCCUCAUUUUCCAGUGGCAGUUCAAAUUUCCCCGACCAUCAUCCUCUAUUAGAACUACCUACCUAUUGUGCUUAUUGUUAACUUGUUCUCGUCCUAAAUAUGCAUGAAAUCUUUGCCACUGGACGUUAAGCAACCAACAAUCAAUCAAUCAACAGCCUACAACCAAAGAAUUAAUAUACUAGUACAUUUUAUAUCUGCCAUGCAAGUAUAUCUAUCGAUUUCUUUUGAAUUUAGUGAUCAUUGUCUACUAUUGUUUCGGUU